AUUGAACGCUGGCGGCAGGCCUAACACAUGCAAGUCGAGCGGAUGAAGGGAGCUUGCUCCUGGAUUCAGCGGCGGACGGGUGAGUAAUGCCUAGGAAUCUGCCUGGUAGUGGGGGAUAACGUCCGGAAACGGGCGCUAAUACCGCAUACGUCCUGCGGGAGAAAGUGGGGGAGCUUCGGACCUCACGCUAUCAGAUGAGUCUAGGUCGGAUUAGCUAGUUGGUGGGGUAAAGGCCUACUAAGGCGACGAUCCGUAACUGGUCUGAGAGGAUGAUCAGUCACACUGGAAGUGAGACACGGUCCAGACUCCUACGGGAGGCAGCAGUGGGGAAUAUUGGACAAUGGGCGAAAGCCUGAUCCAGCCAUGCCGAGUGUGUGAAGAAGGUCUUCGGAUUGUAAAGCACUUUAAGUUGGGAGGAAGGGCAGUAAGUUAAUACCUUGCUGUUUUGACGUUACCAACAGAAUAAGCACCGGCUAACUUCGUG
rnacentral:rRNA from 1 species